UUGUGUUCUUGACCCUUGAUGUUUUAAUAUUACAUUUUGCAUUGCUGUUGUAACUCAGUUAUAACAGCUAGACAAACUAAGAAUAAAGAUGAUCAGGUAGUGUUGGUCAUGCUAUUACACAAUCUUUGUUCUUCCUGAAUAUCUGAACUCAUUCAGAGUCUGAUCUCUGAGACAAGAUAACAUUCAUUAUGGCAGCCCUGUGAUUCAGCAA